rnacentral:lncRNA from 1 species
CUAAGGAAAGAUAAGAGUUGUAUUCCAAGAAGUAGCAUUGGUAUUGAAUUUAUGUUUUCAGGUGUAGUCUUUCUGGAUGAAUUAAGUUAUCAUUUUGUGCACCGUUGUGCCUCAGACUCUAGAGUACAUUGGUUGUAGUUCAUUUCGGGGUUUAGCCAAGUGUUCAAAAGUGUCUGAUGAUGACUUAAAGCUGAGAGGAGGAUGAUUGAGAAAGU